UUGUAAGUGUCUAAGGGCGCAUGGUGGAUGCCUUGGCAUCGAGAGCCGAUGAAGGACGUGGGAGGCUGCGAUAUGCCUCGGGGAGCUGUCAACCGAGCGUGGAUCCGAGGAUUUCCGAAUGGGGAAACCCAGCACGAGUGAUGUCGUGCUACCCGCAUCUGAAUAUAUAGGGUGCGGGAGGGAACGCGGGGAAGUGAAACAUCUCAGUACCCGUAGGAGGAGAAAACAAUUGUGAUUCCGCAAGUAGUGGCGAGCGAACGCGGAACAGGCUAAACCGCACGCAUGGGUAACCGGGUAGGGGUUGUGUGUGCGGGGUUGUGGGAGGAUAUGUCUCAGCGCUACCCGGCUGAGAGGCAGUCAGAAAGUGUCGUGGUUAGCGGAAGUGGCCUGGGAUGGUCUGCCGUAGACGGUGAGAGCCCGGUACGCGAAAACCCGGCACCUGCCUAGUAUCAAUUCCCGAGUAGCAGCGGGCCCGUGGAAUCCGCUGUGAAUCCGCCGGGACCACCCGGUAAGCCUAAAUACUCCUCGAUGACCGAUAGCGGAUUAGUACCGUGAGGGAAUGGUGAAAAGUACCCCGGGAGGGGAGUGAAAGAGUACCUGAAACCGUGUGCCUACAAUCCGUCAGAGCCUCCUUUUCCUCUCCGGAGGAGGGUGGUGAUGGCGUGCCUUUUGAAGAAUGAGCCUGCGAGUCAGGGACAUGUCGCAAGGUUAACCCGUGUGGGGUAGCCGCAGCGAAAGCGAGUCUGAAUAGGGCGACCCACACGCGCAUACGCGCGUGUGAAUAGUGGCGUGUUCUGGACCCGAAGCGGAGUGAUCUACCCAUGGCCAGGGUGAAGCGCGGGUAAGACCGCGUGGAGGCCCGAACCCACUUAGGUUGAAGACUGAGGGGAUGAGCUGUGGGUAGGGGUGAAAGGCCAAUCAAACUCCGUGAUAGCUGGUUCUCCCCGAAAUGCAUUUAGGUGCAGCGUUGCGUGGUUCACCGCGGAGGUAGAGCUACUGGAUGGCCGAUGGGCCCUACUAGGUUACUGACGUCAGCCAAACUCCGAAUGCCGUGGUGUAAAGCGUGGCAGUGAGACGGCGGGGGAUAAGCUCCGUACGUCGAAAGGGAAACAGCCCAGAUCGCCGGCUAAGGCCCCCAAGCGUGUGCUAAGUGGGAAAGGAUGUGCAGUCGCAAAGACAACCAGGAGGUUGGCUUAGAAGCAGCCACCCUUGAAAGAGUGCGUAAUAGCUCACUGGUCAAGUGAUUGUGCGCCGAUAAUGUAGCGGGGCUCAAGCACACCGCCGAAGCCGCGGCACAUCCACCUUGUGGUGGGUGUGGGUAGGGGAGCGUCCCUCAUUCAGCGAAGCCACCGGGUGACCGGUGGUGGAGGGUGGGGGAGUGAGAAUGCAGGCAUGAGUAGCGACAAGGCAAGUGAGAACCUUGCC
rnacentral:rRNA from 1 species